rnacentral:rRNA from 1 species
UACGUAGGGGGCAAGCGUUGUCCGGAUUUAUUGGGCGUAAAGAGCGUGUAGGCGGCCUGGUAGGUCAGCUGUGAAAACUCGAGGCUCAACCUCGAGACGUCGGUUGAAACCACCUGGCUAGAGUCCGGAAGAGGAGAGUGGAAUUCCCGGUGUAGCGGUGGAAUGCGCAGAUAUCAGGAGGAACACCUAUAGCGAAGGCAGCUUGCUGGGACGUAACUGACGCUAAGGCGCGAAAGCGUGGGGAGCGAACAGG